GAUGAACGCUGGCGGCGUGCUUAACACAUGCAAGUCGAACGGAAAGGCCCAAGCUUGCUUGGGUACUCGAGUGGCGAACGGGUGAGUAACACGUGGGUGAUCUGCCCUGCACUUCGGGAUAAGCCUGGGAAACUGGGUCUAAUACCGGAUAGGACCACGUCUUGGAUGUUGUGGUGGAAAGUUUUUUCGGUGUGGGAUGAGCUCGCGGCCUAUCAGCUUGUUGGUGGGGUAAUGGCCUACCAAGGCGUCGACGGGUAGCCGGCCUGAGAGGGUGUACGGCCACAUUGGGACUGAGAUACGGGCCAGACUCCUAAGGGAGGCAGCAGUGGGGAAUAUUGCACAAUGGGCGCAAGCCUGAUGCAGCGACGCCGCGUGGGGGAUGACGGCCUUCGGGUUGUAAACUCCUUUCGCUAGGGACGAAGCGUUUUUGUGACGGUACCUGGAGAAGAAGCACCGGCUAACUACGUG
rnacentral:rRNA from 1 species